GACGAAGGAUGCAAGCGUUAUCCGGAUUCAUUGGGUUUAAAGGGAGCGUAGGUGGCCUUAUAAGUCAGUGGUGAAAUCUCUGGGCUUAACCCAGAAAUUGCCAUUGAUACUGUAGGGCUUGAGUACAGUUGCUGUGGGCGGAAUAUGACAUGUAGUGGUGAAAUACAUAGAGAUGUCAUAGAACACCGAUUGCGAAGGCAGCUCACGAAAACUGUAACUGACACUGAGGCUCGAAAGUGCGGGAUCAAACAGG
rnacentral:rRNA from 1 species